rnacentral:lncRNA from 1 species
UCUGUUCCUAAGGAAUUUAUUUAUUUAAAUGCUAUAUUCUUUUCGUCAUACUGAAUUUGUCAUAACUUUUUUUUAUUGGUUUGUUAGUUGAAUUCUACUCACUUUCGUUUACCUGUUAAAUUACAUACCUUUUUACAUCACUCAAAGAUUUGCUUUCACACGGUAAACACUUAUUCUAUAUUAUUAUUAUAUAUUAUUUUUGAAAUUUGAGUUGAAGCGUCGAUCAACACAUUUUGGUAGUUUUGAGAACAUUUUUUAAUAUAUUAUUAUAUUACUUUGUUGUAGCG